rnacentral:rRNA from 1 species
ACGAUGUGGGAAGGCUCAGACAGCUAGGAUGUUGGCUUAGAAGCAGCCAUCAUUUAAAGAAAGCGUAAUAGCUCACUAGUCGAGUCGGCCUGCGCGGAAGAUGUAACGGGGCUAAGCAAUACACCGAAGCUGCGGCAAUGUCUUUUAGACAUUGGGUAGGGGAGCGUUCUGUAAGCCGUUGAAGGUGAAUCGUAAGGUUUGCUGGAGGUAUCAGAAGUGCGAAUGCUGACAUGAGUAACGACAAAGGGGGUGAAAAACCUCCUCGCCGGAAGACCAAGGGUUCCUGUCCAACGUUAAUCGGGGCAGGGUGAGUCGACCCCUAAGGUGAGGCCGAAAGGCGUAAUCGAUGGGAAACGGGUUAAUAUUCCCGUACUUCUGACUAUUGCGAUGGGGGGACGGAGAAGGCUAGGUGGGCCAGGCGACGGUUGUCCUGGUUCAAGUGCGUAGGCUUGAGAGUUAGGUAAAUCCGGCUCUCUCUAAGGCUGAGACACGACGUCGAGCUACUACGGUAGUGAAGUCAUUGAUGCCAUGCUUCCAGGAAAAGCCUCUAAGCUUCAGAUAGUCAGGAAUCGUACCCCAAACCGACACAGGUGGUCGGGUAGAGAAUACCAAGGCGCUUGAGAGAACUCGGGUGAAGGAACUAGGCAAAAUGGUACCGUAACUUCGGGAGAAGGUACGCUCUUGAUGGUGAAGUCCCUCGCGGAUGGAGCUGACGAGAGUCGCAGAUACCAGGUGGCUGCAACUGUUUAUUAAAAACACAGCACUGUGCAAAAUCGCAAGAUGACGUAUACGGUGUGACGCCUGCCCGGUGCCGGAAGGUUAAUUGAUGGGGUUAGCGCAAGCGAAGCUCUUGAUCGAAGCCCCGGUAAACGGCGGCCGUAACUAUAACGGUCCUAAGGUAGCGAAAUUCCUUGUCGGGUAAGUUCCGACCUGCACGA